rnacentral:rRNA from 1 species
UACAGAGGGGCAAGCGUUGUUCGGAAUUACUGGGCGUAAAGGGCGCGUAGGCGGCCCGCUAAGUCGAACGUGAAAUCCCCGAGCUCAACUCGGGAACUGCGUCCGAUACUGGAGGGCUUGAGUGUGGGAGAGGGAUGCGGAAUUCCAGGUGUAGCGGUGAAAUGCGCAGAUAUCAGGAGGAACACCGGUGGCGAAGGCGGGUCUCUGGGCCGUAACUGACGCUGGAGGAGCGAAAGCGUGGGGAGCGAACAGG